ensembl:ncRNA M02B7.8 ncRNA
GAAUUAUUUGAAAACUCAAUUUUUAUUUCAAUGAAAAAAAAUUUAAAGGUGAUGAAGCCGAAUUUUUAUUGCUUUAUUAGACUAAAUAUUGUCCUAAAACACCGGAUUUCAAAUUUAAGGUCUACGGAUCACAAGAAAUUACCAAAUUUU